CACAUGAUUUUUUUUAUACAUGAUCUGAUUGUUUCUUAAACAUGACUUUGUUUUACGUCUGAUUCAUUUAUUUUCACGUUAUUUUUUAUACGAUUCAGCUUCACAUCAUUUUUUACAGGAUUCGUUUAUUUUCGUGAAAUUUAUUUACAUGAUUCAUUCAUUUUCAUGUUUUUUUCAAACGAUUCAUUGAUUUUCUUUUUACAAGUGAUUCAUUCAUUUUUCUGUGAUUUUUUUUCUUACAAAUGAUUCAUUCAUUUUCACAAGUGAUUUUUUGUUUUACAUACCGUUCCUUUUUAUUCACGUUUUUUUAUUAAUUUAUUUUAAUAUGAUCUUACUUUACUUGCUAUGUUAGACAGACAGACAACAGACAGACAGACAGACAGAUAGAUAGAUAGAUAGAUAGAUAGAUAGACAGACAGAUAGAUAGAUAGAUAGAUAGUGUGCAUCCAACACUGCUUUUCCCCGUCAUUCCCUCGGCACGUCUGCUCCUCGCAGCGGGAGAUGGCAGAGAUUUAAUGAAAACUAUUUCCAGUGCUGGUUGAUUCAGACGGCUGGGAUCAGGGCAACCUUCAGCCUCUGUAGUUCAGGGCCAGCUGGGGAAACGAAUGAGCAUAAUUGAAGUUGUGAAGUGAAGUGUGCAUUUGAACAUUUCUGCGCUUCAUGUAGAAGGCAUAUGUGGGAGUUCUGGAGAAAUGGAGAAUGUGUUUCUUGCUUAUUUGGCACAUCUUGCUUUACUUGCUCUUGCACUGCUGUGGGGGUGGAAUGGUGGUGGAACAGCAGGUAGUGGUGGAACGAUGAUGCUGGAGCUCCGAUGACUGUCUGUCUGGCAUGUUCUCCCAUUGCCUGUGGGUACUCCGAGUUCCUCCCGCCUCCUGAAAACAAUUCGCAUCCCAUUGUGUGCAAUGCUCAGCUCAGGAUCCACUGCAACCCGGAAUGAUGAUUUUAUUCUUGUUUACUUGCAGUUCUCUCCGGUUCCUGGUCUGACGUCGAGUUUAUCCUUGUUUGCACCUGUGCCUAAUUUGUUUCGUCUGUUUUAUUGCCCUCUUAGCCUAGCUUGUAUGUAUAAACUCUUGAUUUAAAUUCUGAAGCCACAAAAAUCUUUGUAAAAAAAAAAAGUAAAAAGUAAAAUCUAUUAUACUUAAUUUUACAGAUUAAGUAUAAAAUUAUAACACCAAACCUGUUGUAAUUAAAUUAAUUUACAAUAUAAAAAGAAAUAAUUCUUAUUCAGAAUGUCUCAGAAAAGCAGAUUGUGACAGAAUUAUCAUAAUAUCGGUAUGAUAUUGUCUUAUGUUCAUGUUAAUCAAACCAGUAAAUAAUCUCAGUUAAGAGAACUUUAAUGUAAAGUGUUCCCUGAUAGAUAUCUGUUCAGAAUCCAGGACACAGAUGCACUUCUUUCUUUCCUUCUUUCAGUAAUAUUACAUAUACAGCAGUUCAGCUUGGGUGAAUAUUACGAGCUGAGAAAUUUUAGAUGAGCGAACGCUCUGAAUUCUGACAUCAGCUCACGUACAGACUACAUCCAAUUGUCUCACGCAGCUGAAGUUGUAAAGCCUUUCUAUUCCGUCUUGUCACUUUCUCUAAAUGAGGCGCCCUGCAAAGAGCGCUCGUGUUACACGGUGAAAAUGUCAUUUCCUUCAGACUCUCACAGUGGAGAGGAGAGGAACCCAGAUUUAACAGGUGAUACGAUUUAUUAAUCGACUAAAGCUGGAGCGCUGGCGUGUCCGGGCCUCAUUUAGCCAGCAGGUCAUAGGAUUAAGUGAACUGAUCUAAAGCAAAUCAUUAGUUUCCUAUUUAUUCUUUUUUUUUUUCCAAAAUCAAAUACACUAAUACAGUACGGGUUCUCUUCCUAUCUCUUAUUAAAAUUAUUAACAGGUUGAUCGGGGUGUGAGAUCAUUCAAAUGUUCUUUGGUUAUACUAAUACAUUAUCGUUUCUAUAGUAACAGCAUACACAGGGAGUUGUAUGGCAAGCAAUCCAGAUAAUCUAAGCCUAAUAAUAAACUAAAUUAUCUAAUAACAUGGCAUUAUUUAAAGAAUAGUGUCUCAUCCUUGAUAUGGUGAUGCUUUCUGUAAGGAAAUAACAUUCAUGGAAGGAGUCUCCAGUGUCAGCGCUUUGUAAAAGUAAAAAGAGAAAAUUUUUAGGAUGAAGGGAUUUCUGAUUUCUUGGUUAGAUGACAAGCUGCGCUUUUUUUUGUCUUAUUCGACAAAUGGAUAAACAUUACUAUAAAUGCAAACUCUUAAAACUUUAAUAAUUAGUGCUAGCACUUGCUAGUUUGCAUCGAGUUCUAGUAAAUAAGAUAGUAAAAUAGUAAAAUAGCUAUUAUGGCACACAUUUUUAGUAUGGUUCUAUGCAGUUUGGUCUUGGAUAAAAUCGCAUCUUGAAUCUAAUGAAUUAAUGGGUUUGAAUUUGGAUUUAUUUUUCCCCAUUAAUUUCCAUGUCAACAAAUUAUAAGACUAUAUGCACAACAACAUAUCAUCAUUUACUUACUUGCAAACACUUGGGCUUCAAAGUUUGGAAUCAUUUCCCAUUGUAAAUUGUCAGAUUUUUAAAGGUGUAAAAUUUGACAGUAAUCUUUUUUUUCGCCACAAUUACAUAGAUUAGGUUCUAAAUGUAGAGGUAGGCGGAGCAUCUUUCAGUGGAAUUGCUAUUAAUUCCUUAAAUAUGAUUUUCUCCCUUUUCACUUUUGACAAAAGUUUUUAGAAGGAUAUGUACAGGGUGACUGAAAAGUCAGGAACCAACGAAAGUACCAAGACACACCAUCCCUACCCUUUCAUCCAAAGUUAAUGCCAUUUUUCACCUGUAAGGAAAAUAACAUAUAAAAAUAAGUGUAAAUAAAUAAGUACAAAAUACAAUGAAUACAAAGUCAUGUAGUUCAACUCCCAUUGGUUCAUGACUUUCUUGGACACCGUGUAGUAUAAAAUGUCAAAAUUUUAGUAUGUGAAGUCUUUUCGCACUAGGAUAACACCUGUACCCCUACUCAUUCGUGUAAUUAUUUAAUCAGCCAAUCAUGUGGCAUCGGUGCAAUACAUCAAACCACGUACCAGAAAAGUUCAGUUGAUUGAUUUCCAGUGUUUCCACAGAGUGGUUCGAAAAGCAAAACACAUCCAGUCAGCGGCAGUUCUGCGGAUUGUUGAAGAGAGAGGUCAGGGGAGAAUGGCCAGACUGGUUCUAGCUGACAGGAAGGAUAUAGUAACUCAAAUAACCACUCUUUACAGCCGUGGUGAGCAGAAAAGCAUUUCAGAACUCACAGCAUGUUGAAAUUCUGAGGUGGAUGGGCUACACUAGCAGAAGUUUAAAGUGGCCAGUGAAAGUACAUAUGGAAUGAUGUGAAUAAUUCUUUUUUUUUUUCACGUGAUCACACAUUACUAGGUGAAAAACUUAAGAUCACACGUGAAAGGCAUGUGAUUUUUCCCUAAGGGUGGCGAAAAAAUGGCGCCCAUUUCAUUUUCGGUAGUUUAAAUGUAUUCAGUCGGUUAAAAAGCCGUUAUUCACCUCUCGUCGAGGUCAGCAGCCCGGAGUCCUGCAUAUAUCUGACUCGCACUUUGUCCACUAAGCCUUCUCCAGCACAGCUGUGUUUCAUUCUCGCGUUUAGUCCACAUGACCUGCUCUGAUCCUCAGGCUUAUAUGAGCCGAGUGAGCUUGAAGCCAUGCCUGAAAGGCGAUGGAUCUCCAAGGCUAGAAAAUAUUGCAAGCGAGAGAAAGAAAGCAGCAGGAAAGAUAGAACAAGUAACUGGCUCUAUUCCUGCUGCACUAUCACAUUAACGUGCGCAAGGAGAACACACGUGCGGCUGAAUAUUUCAUCUCACACAGUGACCCGUACACUAUUCCACAGUAAACCACGUUAAGGAGCGAAUGAAAAUGUCCACAGGUGCACAAAAAAAGUGGUAUUGUAAGCCUACGUGGACAGGAUUUGUGGUUUUCGUCUGUGCGAUGCGUCUCUCUCUCCAUUGAAAUUCCGCAUGUGUCCAGGGCAGGUUUGUCUCCUUCUCUCGGGGCGUCUGUUUGAAAUGGAAAUUGGCUUGGAUAACAGAAGUGUGCCACACACACAAACACACACACACACAAACACCGGUCCUCAAUGCCUCAUUUCAGUGAUGUCCCUGAGGCUGUGGGCUCACACCCGUUUCCAUGCAAUUUUGAAUUUGCACAUGUGGAAAUGGCAUAAAAUUCAAAAGACGCGUGAAAAUUCUGAAGAAAAAUAAAAUCAGUGAUGGGUUUGUGUUCCAGUAUCUCCAAGCAUAUGUGUGUUUAGAUUAGCCCUUUUUUGAUGAUGUCAUUUUGUUGCUCUUUCCUCUUCAUUAUAUUGUCAUAACAGUAGUUGAUGAAAAUGUAGUCAGGAAUGGACAAGUGUUUGUAUUUUCUCUUAAUUUUCAGAAAUCAAAAAUUCACCAGAUUUUUUUUUUUUUUUCUUUUUUGGAAACAUGCCUUCUCCUACAGAUUUUACUGAAAUUGUUUUAAUGUACUAUUUAUUUAUUUAUUUAUUAUUUUGAACAUGCACAAGAGUUUAUAUUUCCUCUUAAUUUUCAGACAUCAAAACAUUGACUUCUGAAAAGUGCUUUCUUAAAUUGCGUAUAUAUUACAUUUAAUAUCAAAUGUUUCUUUUCUAUUAACUUCUUCAGUUUGCAUUUUCUGUCCCUGAAUGUUUAGGACCUAAAGGCAAGUUCUGAUGUUUAAUGUGGUGGUCGAGAUGCUAGACCCUGUCACGGACACCUGUACUCAAGAAAAUUUAGCAACCUUCUAGGUGUAAACUACGUGCAGAAGCCAGUCUCUCCAGGAAAUGUCACCUUCAAGGGCAGCUCGAAUCAAACAUAUUGACAUCAGAAAACGUGACCAAGUAAAUCAUGAUUUUCCAUUCUAAAAUACUGACACUGAAAAGAAGAAGCACGUUCUUUGGAAACUACAUACUUACUUAAAGGUCAACAGAGGAUGCCAUUACCUCAGGCCUUCACUCUGCCCUGACUCAUCUGGGAAAUAGCAACUCCUGUGUGAGGAUGCUCUUCAUUGACUUUAGCUCUGCGUUUAAUACUGUCAUUUCAUCUAAGCUGAUCUCCAAACUCUCCAGUCUUGGUAUCAGCCCCCACCCUCUGCAACGGGACUCUGGACUUUUUGACCAACAGGCCCCAGUCUGUUAGAGUUGGCAUCAACUCCUCUUCCACCAUCAUCCUAAACACCGGCGUACCACAAGGCUGCGUGUUGAGUCUUCUCCUCUACUCCCUCUUCACCUCUUCACUCCACAAUCAAGUUCGCAGAUGACACUACGUUGGUUGGCCUGAUCAGAGAUGAUGACGAGACAGCCUACAGGGAAGAGGCUCAGCAUCUGGUAACAUGGUGUGCCAAUAACGACCUCGAUCUUUACACCCAGAAAACCAAAGAACUGAUUGUGGACUACUGGAAGUCCUUGAGGAACCACAAACACACCCCUAUCCUUGUUAAUGGGACUGAGGUAGAGCAGGUCUCUAGCUUCAAGUUUCUUGGUGUCCACAUCUCCGCUGACCUUUCCUGGAACCUCAACACUUCCUCAACCUCUCUUCUCAAAAAGAUGCAACCGCACCUGUAUUUUUUGAGGAGACUGAAGAAAGCUCACCUUGCUCCUCAGAUCAUGGUGAACUUCUAUCGCUCUACCACUGAGACCAUCUUUACAAAUUGCAUCACAGUAUGGUACAACGACUGCACAGUGUGUGACCAGAAGGCACUACAACAGGUAGUGAAAACUGCCCAACACAUCAUUGGAACACAGUUGCCCAACAUUUAUCAAAAACGUUGCUUGUGGAGAGCGAGAGUUAUUAUCAAGGACACCUCCCAUUCCCACCAUGGAUUGUUUGUACGUCUCCCAUCAGGAAAACGCUACAGAAGUCUGAGUUGUUGCACAAAAAGACUCAUGAACAGCUUUUUCCCUUCAGCUGUACUAAUGCUGAACUCAGCUUCUAAGCAUUAACUGCCAGGUUCCACUUAAUAACUAAACUUUAGCAUUAGACUCUACUGUUGUCUGCAAUUAUUUGCAAGUACUUGCACUUUACUGCACUAUCUGUCGUUAGUUCUAUUAUUUAUAUCUGUUGCACAUUUUUGCUAUUUGCUAUUGCUAUAAUAAGCGUUAUACAACAACAGGGUGGUGUGAUAUCGCAUGCCAUGGAUCAGAGUUACUGUUAAUUUGUGAGUACUAAUAAUUAUUAUUUAUUAAAGAAUUACACAUUAUACAUUUAUCCGUUUAAAGAUAUUUAAUGUUGUUGAACAGCCGUGAAACAAGUUGGUUCUUGUUAUCGCCUAUAUUAUAGAGGUUAUGAAUAGUCAUUCCUGGAAAGCACAAACUCCUCCAUCUUGAAGACUUUCCCAUGCUGGAAAUCUCUCUGACACUGGAGACUCCUUCUAUAAAUGUUAAAUAAACAUCUCUUGACAGAAGACUUCACCAUAUAAACAAGUACACAUUUUUGUUUUUUAAAUAACAUCACAUUUUUAAUGCGUUUAUUACUCGCCUUAGAUUACGUGGGACGUCCGCCAUGAGAGGAACAUCCUCCCAUUGUCCCUAGAACACAAUUUAACAUACAGAGUUGAGUACUCUAAUAUAUGCAAAACACUGAAACAUCAAAUCCCAGCUCAAACGUACUCCAAUUCUACUGAAAACCACACACCUGGGAACAAAGCGCGCUGACUUCCCACAGGUUUAUGCUUCUUUAUAUGCAUAUGAAUGAAAGAAGCGCACGUUGGGGAUUAUUAUGUACAUGGUGCAUAAUUUAUGUGUUUCGUUUGUUAUGUAACAUGCAGUGACUUUGAUGAAACCUGAAGCCAGGUGCCAGAAACUUAGUACAUCUAAAUCAAGUAGGUUUUCUUGACUUGUAUCAGGUUUUAAAGCAGGCACUGCAUCUAGAAACAAUUCUGUAACAUUAUCAUGUAUCCUAGAAUAGCACAUCUUAGUAUUUCCUUAUCAAGGCACGGUGUUGUAUCAGUACACCGUUCCAGUUCGAGCCAACAGCCUGAUACAACUGUGACGGUUCUGGUGGCUGCUGCUUCACGUCACUGCACAGUUUUCCUGACAGAUUGAGGUCAGCGGUUUGUGACUCAGCCACUUAAGCACAGUUUAUUUUUUUUCUCUCUUUUUAAGCACCAAAGGCCUUUACCAAAAAUCCAAGCGACACACAUUCGAUGAUGUCUUUCCUAUCCUAGUAGUAGCACACAAUUUAGGGAUUUCCAAGAGCAUUUAAUCACAGCACAUUUUGAGAGUGCUCUGACACUGAAACGUUUAAAUCCAGACUCUGGUGGCAUGUCAGGGUAUUAAAAUAGGGGGACAAACGGUGGUUCAAAGAUAGUAGUGUGCUUUUUGGUGAAUUUCUGGGUUAAAUCAAGCAAACAAAAAAAUGUGGGUGGGAAAAUGCUUGUUGCUUCUGAUGACAUGCUAGGUGGACAGAAUAUAGGGCUGUAUUCAGAGUCAAGGAAGUCCAAAAUAUGUCAUUAUUUAUGUAGAGAAAGUUCCUCGUAUUCAGAACCGGGUUAUGCACAUAGUUAAAUUAAUUCUCUGGGCUCUCCAUGCAGAUUAGUAAAAUUUCCUGCAUGUAGUUCACACCUCUGAGAUUUUUCUUUAGUACAGAUGUCCUAGACUGGGUUUUUCAAAAGCAUCUAGACCACCAUCUUUAAAUGUUUAAGCCAAAAAAACAAACAAACAAAAACAAACAAACAAAAAAAAAACAGGAGAUAGAAAAUAUGGUCAUGUUCUUUUUUCUUCUUUGCUGUAAUACAAAGAAAUAUAAAGGCAAGAAAAUUAAAAUAAAUGAAAAACAAAAAACAAAGACCAUCAAUAACAAGACGUACCAAGCAGAUAGCCAGAAAUCAUUACAUUAAUCGCUUGAACAAUAUGGCUUCCACCUUAGUAUUCAGCAGCUUAUAGAAUAGCACUUGAUCCAGUACAUCCUAUUAUUUAACAUUUUAUUUAUUUUUUUAUUUUUUAUAUCAUGCUCCACAUCGCACACACAACUUAAGAUCACAAGGGCCACAGCCAUCCCUGGCCAGUCAUCUAAAAGAAAAUAAUAAAUAGUCCAGUCUUUUUUCCCUCCACUGUCAGUUAUUCUCCUUAGAGACCAGAAUAUUGUAUAUGAUUUCUGAAAGACUAUAAAGGAACAAUAUUUAAUUUCCUGGGGAAAAAAGUGCAGUAUGAAUAAAAAAAGGUCCAAAUGAUGGAUAUAUACUAAUACUAAAUAACAAAAAAAUAAAAGCAUAUUUUCAAAUAAGGAGAAAAGGAUUCAUGAAUGCCCAGAAACUAGUGCACCUAUAUUCUCAUAAUAAUAUGAUUUUUUUCCCCUUCAGACUUCAUGAGCUUAUCUUUGUGAUUCUGUGCUGUACUUUUCUCAAAUAAUGGAUCAGUUUUUUUUUCCUUUUAGUUCUGUUUGAUUCUGUUGUGACCUUGACUCCAGAUUUGCCUCAGUGUGUUUGUAUUCUGAGCACUAAUGACUAUCACAUUUGGGGAAAUGAAUAAAAUGAUGUGACAUUUACUUCCAGCUCAUUUUGACUCCCGUUCAAAACAUCUAGGUAGUACAGCGCUAUAAGAUUGGAUGUAGUUGGAUGUAAUUGCAGUAUUUUUUUGGGCGAGCUCAUCCAUUCUUGUCACAGAAAGGCUCAAGGCUCACAAUAACGUAUUAAAAUCAAUAACAUACAUCAAAAUGAGCAAGAUCAGAUGAAAGUCUUUUAAAUUUGUUAUCGAUUGUCGCUUUAAUAAGCAAGCCACAGCUAGUAAUAUUUGUAAACAUUUAUGAAAAAUAUUCAUCACUGAUUUAUUCCAAAUGAAGCUAUAAGAAAAUAAUCAUUCACACUUGUACUCAAGUGUAAUGAAAUUUUCCAGAAUUAAUAAAAAUGUAACAUUUUAGAAGUGCCCAGGCAGAAAUCAACAGAUUUUUGUUGUUGCUCUUGUUGCUGUUGUUGUUUUUUGUGUAGUCGCUUUGCAAAAGUGUUUAAACAAGUGAAUUAAUUGAGACGUGCUGUGCGUGUCUUGCUAUAUGCUCGUGAGAAAACCUGGUUAAAAGGCGAUGCUGUGUUGCAAAGUAUUACAAGUGUUUUAAUCACCAUAGUAACAUUACAUGACCUCACUUUCCUAUGCAGGAGCUACUGCAUGUUACAGAAGCCAGACGUGUGCAUGCGUAUACCGAUCCAGUAUUCCAUUAAAAGGACUUACAUGAUAAUAAUACAUGCCAGGGUGGUGUGAUACAGCAGAGGGCUGUUAUUUAGUAUAACAGCACGGUCCAAAGUGGGUUAUUGUGCUUAUACAACAGCGAUCUACCAGCGAUUACUAUGUUUAUGUUUAAUCAGUGAAAGACACAUCAGACAUUUUAACCAUUAAUAGUUAGAUUUAAUGUUGUGGAACAUCUGCGAGGACACGUUAAUUCUUGUUACGUUAUAGCAGCCGCAAACCGUCUUUCGAGCACCUGUUCCAUUUCCUUUUCUCUCACUCCCAAAAAAAUGUAGCAUGUCAUUUUACGGAGAAAUGAGAAACUCCUAGGAAACGUUACAAAGCACUGUGACUAUUACAAAGAGCUGACACCUGGGACUCCUGCCAUAAAUGUGAAAUAAAUGUCUGCUAAGCAAAAAUGUCACCACAUCAACGGUUAUACGCUUUACUUUAAGGUUUUAAAAAAAAUACAUUGGUGAUUAGUCAUAGGUUAUGAUGAGCAUCUUCUGUACAAGUCCCUGCGUAUGAGCUGUUACUAUAGUAACAAUAGCAUGUUAGACUGAGCGCUUUUAUAUAAACCUGUCGUUCAUGUUACAGCUGGAACUAGUGUCCGAGUCGUGCUGUUAUACAAGAAUAACACACACUUUCUGACAAUCAGAUUUGUGAAUAUAUGUGAAUAUAUUUGUGAAAAUGAAGCCAUCUGCAAUUUGGAAAGAACAUAUUAAAGAAAUUUGACCCAAAUUUCACAGAGAACUCUCAUUUUUUCGGCUAAACUAACUACUAAAACGAAAAACAGCCAAACAACUAGUAUAUGUUUCCACCAGAAGAUUAUGAUUAACCCUGAUAAGAGCUCAUCAACCCAGUAUUAUUUAAUCUAUACUGGCUUACUUGCUGUUUACCGCUCUAAAUGCUUUCACUCCAGUGUAUCUUGCUGAUCUCCUGAAGCAGUAAAUUCCAUAUCGAGCACUUCACUCAGCCUUUAAUCCAGAGAAUCAUCACCAUUUCUAGCUCAGCUGGGGGGGAAUAGUGUUCAGCAGCUCUAUAUGGGUUGUUAAUUGCAGAUUAAAAGCAUGAGUAUUUAGCUUGGCCUAUUAGUUGUUUUUGGGUCUGUAACACCCAUACAUUAUUAUAUAUGAGUCAUAUUUGUUCCUUAUUUUCUUGUUUCUCGGUCCUGGUUUUCUACUUUACAAGCUACAUACAGUUAUCAGGCGCUCCGUACGUUGAAGGGUUAAGAGAAAACAGGAAGUAAACAGGAAGAGUUCAUGACAAAAGCAUGAAUAAUGGAUUUAACAAUGGGGUUCAUUGGUCAAAGUGCUGAAUUCACUGAACCCUUGGCUCACGUACAGCACCUGCAAGAAUCCUACAACAAUAGCACUUUUGCUCUGGGCGUAUUUGCAUAUAUUUGUGUAUUUUUUAUCUUUCCCCUAGGGUAUGGAGUAAACAAACUGAGCGUUCAAGCUCCAAGCCGGUGGAAUAAUCGGCUUCACGCGGGCCAUCUUAUCUCUCGGUAGGUAAAGUAAGGUAAGCUCCAGACUGCUGCUCAAGCUCCUGCUGCCGUAGUUUGUUUGGGAGCGCUAGAUGAGAUUCGGGAUGAUACACACAGAUCUACUGAGCGGCGGCAAUAACAGAAAAAGUGAAAACAGCUUUAAAAAAAAAAAGAUCAUUCCUUCUAUAAAGCUGCAAAUAAAUCUGGGGAUUUGUUCUUCAAAAUCAAAACUGCUAAUAAUCAGCGUAGAAAGUUGUUGUUUUUUUUUCUGCCAAUCUUCCAACUGCUCUUCACCUCAGCUCAUUUCAUCAGGAUAAAAUUGAGAAAACACAAACAGGACUGUGUGUAGCUGAUUUACCUCGUGGUUUCAACACAAUACAUAAUCAAGCAAAUUUCUGCUCAGUUUUAAAACAACUCCAGGUAACAAAAAGUGAACAAAUUGUUUGUUUAUUUGUUAAAGAAGACUAUUAUCAAUAUGAUGAAUAUUAAUGAGCACUAGGCAUAAGCUUUAUGAAUAUUAAUGACCGAGAGGACGCCAUACAACAGUUUAUUAACCGCCAGAGGUCUGUGCCUAUUACUGCUGGUUUUCAUACCUAGUUAUUAAACAGUUAAUAAAAACUCUUCCCAUUUUAUAUAGAUAUGCAGUUUUCUAUCGUUUCAUCAGGUUGAUGAACCUUUCUGGUAGUCUUUCUUUAAAAUAAAUGCACCUCUUAUUCCUGAUUCUCAUUUGUAUCGUAUACAAGAUAUAAGAUCUUUAAACCCUUAAUGGUACAUUGUAAGUUUCUACCAAAAGUCAAACAGUGCUCAAGAGAAGAGCUAAAUAAAGAGAAAAAUUAAUUCUUCUAAUCAUUAUAAUUAUUUUAUAACUGAGAGCGUGUUCAGGUCAUGUUGACUCGAGGGCAACAUGGUGAAAUAUAAAGUGUCAGAAAUGCCUGGUGUUAGAAAUCUGAAGGAAAUGAUUCUAUCAGGAGGGUGAAGCAUUUCGGGGGAGAGAAGGCAGUGGAUAUCCAUUACUAAGCAGUGAGCAUGAUUUUUUUUUUUUUUGGUUUUGUUUUUUACUUCUUGUGAAGCUGCAUGACCAAGCGUGAAGCCAUUAAUCCAUCCGAAAGGAACUCAAAUGUUUCUUUUCUACUUUCCCUACUGCAACAGGCCAUCAUAGUGAGUGUGAGAGCCUGCUGUGUGUGUGUGUGUGUGUGUGUGUGUGACGUACACAAUCUCGCUGUCUUGAGAUUUAGAGUUGGUACUGAAUAGGAAAGAUCACACACCCUCCCACUGUAUAUGUUUAUGUGUACCGUAAUACCUUUUUACCUCUUUCUUUCUCUCCUUUUCUUGCUUUUAUUUUCCCACUUAUCUAUCCAUGUGGUCUGGGUAGGCAGCUGGCUCUCAGCCCAGGUCACAGCGAGAGAGAUGAUGAAACUGUCAGGAAGAGAAUGAGAAACACAGAGCUGAAUGGUUAAUACACAGUAUGAUAUUAUACAGUAUACGGUAUACAAUAUAUAUAUAGUGCAGUGUCUGUUAUUGAGAGAGAAAAAAUAAUAAUAAUGCUAAUAAAUUUAAUAACUCCAGCCCUAUGUCCAGGUAGUUAGCUAAAAUAUAAAACGGAAGCCACAAAUUGGAUUAGACAGAAUACAAACACCUGCAAUUGUUAGGUGUGUGGGUUUGGUUUCGUUUGCCUCAUUAACAAAAUGCACCAGCAGGAAAACAACAGACCAGAAACCAUAAAAAUGACAUCCGGUGCUAAAGAAAUGAGCUGUGACUUCAGUUCAAGUCCAGGAUUUUUUAUAUUCUAAUUAGAUAAUAUCUUGAAAUAAUGAGUUACUAAGUCAAAAUGUUAAUAAUAAUAAUAACAGUAAUAAUAAUAAUUCACACUUUGUGGUUCAGGGCUUCCCUAAUUAUCUGAGCAUUAUGAAAUGCAUUAGUUUCUACACGUCCACACGGAUGAUGUGUCUUGGACUGAAGUUUGAAGCAAGUUGCACUUUUGAUGUUUUCACACAGAUGUUUUAUUAAAUAACAACGUUUUUAAAGCUGUUUAUUAUUCGAUUUUGCUUACGUGGCGUUUCCACCAUACACUUUCCUGUGUAUGUUGUUACUGUACAGAUGAUAACGCAUCAGUAUAAACCUGUGAUUUAUCAUGCAAUCGUAACUGCUGUCUGAGCUGCUGUUGUGAAAAUUAAAGCAACACUUUCUGACCAAUCAGAUUUGAGAAUUCAACAGCAAAAUCAAUAAAGACAAAUUCUUUGGUUAUUAUUAAAGAGUCGUCAUAUCUCAGUUGAUGAAUAUAAUCUCAGAGAGCUGUACUCCUGAAUGAUUAAAUAAAAAAGAAUUUUGCUAAUCAAUGCUUAGCAAAGCUAAAAAUAGUCCAGAAGAGCAGUAAAAACCUCUGACACCGAGGCACCGUGCGCUAAAUGUUUAUUACUUCCUAAACCCGAACUCAGACAACACUAAUUCCAACAUGGAUUAAUCAUCAUUUCAGAGAGUGGUGUUACAUAAGGGACUUGCAAAACGCUGGGCCAGAGUCCACAGGUUGGCGAGUCGGUUGUGUUAACACUGCGAGAAAGCCGUGACCCCUGGAAAGAGGGGUUUUUUUAACGUUGCUGGGGAAGACUCUGUUCCAUCUGCCUACCAUCUGUCUUUGAUCCGCAGAUCUGUGCCAGAGGGCAUGAUGCCAUGCUAAUGCUCCUCUACACCAAUUAAAAAAAAAGAUGAUGAAAUCCAGCCAUACACCUUGCAGUCGUAAGUCUCACCGCGCAGGCUGUAAAAAUAUCUUACGGGUCCAGGUAAGAACGUUUUCAGCGUUGGACCUUCUGAUCUCAGCUUGUUAAGGGCGCCAUACCUGCGAGCUGAGAGAAAUUCGACAGACGUUGUUGAAGCUCGCGUUGUAUACAAGGCAUUAUAUCAAGCAUUUUAUACAAACAAUUUUACGAUAUGGAUCAUUAAUCUUUAAAAUAUUCUUGAUCACGCCGAUUAGUUGCUGAAACGGUAGCAGUAGCAUUUCUAUGUCCGUCCACUAGGUGGCUGUUUUUUUUGUUUUUUUUUUUAUCUUAAAAAAAUUUAUACUGGGCCAAAAUAUAUGUUUGAAAUCAGUAAAUAUCAAUAACGUAUCAAAUGACAAAAACAAAUAAUUAUGAGAUUUGUGGACAGCCCAGGAAAGCAAAGUAAAAACUACAUAUGUAUAUAUAUAUAUAUAUAUAUAUAAUAUUAUAUAUACAGUACAGUACACACUACAAUACCACACACAAUAUCAGAUAUCACGAAAUAAUUAAUCCCAUGGCUGAUCACGUUUAAUUUAAGCAAAAUAAGAUCAACAAUUAUUAACCAUAGAGAACAAUUAAAAAGUACAGUUAAAAAUGUUACAGUUCCAGGACUUUUAGUAACUCAUUUAAUUUUGCAUGUUGACAUGAAAUAGAUUUUGUCUCUGUCUUUUUUUUGAAACCUGCCACCUCCACGUAUGUCUCAAUAAGAAGCAUCAUCCCUGCCCCUGAUUCACGAUUGC